rnacentral:misc_RNA from 1 species
GAUGAAGAACGCAGCGAAAUGCGAUAAGUAAUGUGAAUUGCAGGAUUCAGUGAAUCAUCGAAUCUUUGAACGCACAUUGCGCCCGCCAGUAUUCUGGCGGGCAUGCCUGUUCGAGCGUCAUUACAACCCUCAGGCCCCCGGGCCUGGCGUUGGGGAUCGGCGGAAGCCCCCUGCGGGCACAACGCCGUCCCCCAAAUACAGUGGCGGUCCCGCCGCAGCUUCCAUUGCGUAGUAGCUAACACCUCGCAACUGGAGAGCGGCGCGGCCACGCCGUAAAACACCCAACUUCUGAAUGUUGACCUCGAAUCAGGUAGGAAUACCCGCUGAACUUAAGCAUAUCAAUAAGCGGAGGA